UGGGGAAUAUUGGACAAUGGGCGAAAGCCUGAUCCAGCAACGCCGCGUGAGGGAUGACGGCCUUCGGGUUGUAAACCUCUUUCAGCAGGGACGAAGCGAGAGUGACGGUACCUGCAGAAGAAGCACCGGCCAACUACGUGCCAGCAGCCGCGGUAAUACGUAGGGUGCAAGCGUUGUCCGGAAUUAUUGGGCGUAAAGGGCUCGUAGGCGGUCCAUCGCGUCGGGAGUGAAAAGCUGGGGCUCAACCCCAGUCCUGCUUCCGAUACGGGUGGACUAGAGGUAUGCAGGGGAGAACGGAAUUCCUGGUGUAGCGGUGAAAUGCGCAGAUAUCAGGAGGAACACCGGUGGCGAAGGCGGUUCUCUGGGCAUUACCUGACGCUGAGGAGCGAAAGCGUGGGGAGCAAACA
rnacentral:rRNA from 1 species